rnacentral:rRNA from 1 species
UACUUCUUGGCGAGCGGGUACAUCAUGAGCUCUCAUGAGGCGGAAGAGGUCGAUGAGAAAGGUUGGAUGUCAGCAUUUAAGAAACGUGGGCCCGGAAGGACCCCCGCGGGACCUUAUCAGAACCCGCCGGAGGAUAACCAAACUCUAUUGUAACGACGUUUCUUCUGAGUGGCAUAAGCAAAAUAAUCAAAACUUUUAACAACGGAUCUCUUGGUUCUGGCAUCGAUGAAGAACGCAGCGAAAUGCGAUAAGUAAUGUGAAUUGCAGAAUUCAGUGAAUCAUCGAAUCUUUGAACGCACAUUGCGCCCGCCAGCAUUCUGGCGGGCAUGCCUGUUCGAGCGUCAUUUCAACCCUCAAGAUCUGCUUGAUGUUGGGGCUCUACGGUCGACGUAGGACCUCAAAGGUAGUGGCGGACCCUCCCGGAGCCUCCUUUGCGUAGUAACAUUUCGUCUCGCACUGGGAUCCGGAGGGACUCUUGCCGUAAAACCCCCCAAUUUUCCAAGGUUGACCUCGGAUCAGGUAGGAAUACCCGCUGAACUUAAGCAUAUCAAUAAGCGGAGGAAGUU